rnacentral:rRNA from 1 species
AUUGAACGCUGGCGGCAUGCUUUACACAUGCAAGUCGAACGGUAACAGGCCGCAAGGUGCUGACGAGUGGCGAACGGGUGAGUAAUGCAUCGGAACGUGCCCAGUCGUGGGGGAUAACUACUCGAAAGAGUAGCUAAUACCGCAUACGAUCGAUGGAUGAAAGCGGGGGACCGUAAGGCCUCGCGCGAUUGGAGCGGCCGAUGUCAGAUUAGGUAGUUGGUGGGGUAAAGGCUCACCAAGCCAACGAUCUGUAGCUGGUCUGAGAGGACGACCAGCCACACUGGGACUGAGACACGGCCCAGACUCCUACGGGAGGCAGCAGUGGGGAAUUUUGGACAAUGGGCGCAAGCCUGAUCCAGCAAUGCCGCGUGCAGGAAGAAGGCCUUCGGGUUGUAAACUGCUUUUGUACGGAACGAAACGGCUCUGGUUAAUACCCGGGGCUAAUGACGGUACCGUAAGAAUAAGCACCGGCUAACUACGUG